ensembl:lncRNA
CAAAGCCAGCAAUCUCGAAUAAACACAUUGCCAGAUCCGUGACUAUAUAAAGAGCCAGCCUGCCCCACCCCGAAGGUUUCCCUUGUUUUAGAGAUGAUCUCUGGUUGACUUAGUACCUGACCAUUUGAUUGCUUGUUUUCCCCUCCUAGUCUUAUGUUUUAAUUUACCAAAAAAGAGUGAACCUGCAAAACCUGAGGAAUUCUACCCUCAACUCCAAUAAAAGCUGAACUGCAGCCCUGCACACCCUCUCUCUCCCCCAGACCAUGCUGUAUGGCUCCAGGAGUGCUGUGUACCUCCAGGACUUGAUCAACUUUUAGUGACCUGAAGAACCACUUGGAAUGCUUUUUAAAAAGAAUGAUUUCUACAUUUUCUCCAUGAAUUCUGAUUGAGGAGGUCUGGAGAGAGGCCCAGGAAUAUGAAUUUGUAACAAGCCACCCAGUUCUUUUACAGAGAAACUAGUGUCCAGAGAAUAUCAAGAAACCAAAGCUUCCCAGCCCCACCUCCUCAGCUUCCUGAUGUCAGAGUCUACCUUCCACCAUGGAGAUAAGCAGCCAAGGACACUCAUCUGAGAAAUCCUUUGUCUCCCCUGGAAGCAGCCCAAGACACAGGCCGAUGGGAAAAUGCUGACCAAGAAAUCCACAGCCCCCCUCCCCUACCUAAAACCCUAAAUAAAAACCCCUACCCGUUUCUCAAUGGGGAGCAAGCAUUUGGGGGCACUGGCCCUUGCUUUGCUCCCUCUGCCUGGCAAAGAAAAGCUUUCCUUUUCCUCCCAAGACUCCAUUCUUGUUAUCUGGAUUGGCAUCAGGAUCAGAGACUGAACUUUCGGUAACACUAAGGGCUUGAUCCCAAACAGCUGAUAAAAGAAACUAGCAUGUGCAAGAUGGCAGAGUGAGUGGUCUUCUUUGUCUCUCCCCCGUCAAAUCCACAACUAAUUGGACAUUCAUUGAUUAACAAAGGAUAUCCAGAUAGCAUCUCAAGACGCCUAAGAGUCCCAUGCUACUACACAUCGGAAGGCGGACGGACUUCCCCCUGGGAGGGAGGUGGAAAUAGGUGAAAACUCUCCAACCCCUGACCCCCAGACAGCCUAGUUCCUGCAGGAGGCUCUCUUCCAGCGGACUCCCCCCUAGCAUUGCCACACACCAAGGGUGGGAGUGUGCACUCACCAGCGGAGCGACGGUGGAAACAGGUGACAACAGCCCUACCCAAGCCCCCCGUGAUUACACCUAAGCCCAGGGGGAAUCCCCAGGGUCCUGCACCCACCAGCAGGGAAGGCCUCUGCUCGCCAUUAGCAGGGAGGCCCCGCGCAGAAUCCAGAACAAAGAGAAUCUCCUGGCUGCCCCAGCACGGCACCAGACCGCAAGCUGCCGCUGGGCUCACGGUCUCCAGCACAUGAGUCGGUGCAGGGGGCACCCGGACUUCCCGUAGACGUGCUUGGGGACACAGUUGGAGCUCCAGCAUCUGGCUCUGCAGUGCAGGGGAAGGCUCUGGGGUCCCACACCUCCCUGGCAGGGAAAGCCUCUGCCCGCCAUUAGCAGGGAGGCCACGCCCAGAAUCCAGGAAACAGGGAAGCUCCUGGUGGGCAGAUUCCCUGGCACAGCACCAGACUGCAAGCUGCUGCUGGGCUCACGGUCUCCAUCGCAUGGGUCGGUGCAGGGAGUGCCCGGACUUCCUGUGGAUGUGCUUGGGGACUGGGUGGAGCUCCAACACCUGGCUCUAUGGCCCGGGGGGAUGCUCCAGGGUCCUGCACACCCCCAGCAGGGAGGGCCUUUGCUCGCCAUUGGCAGGGAGGCCCCGCCCAGCAUUCGGAACACCAGGAAGCUCCCUAGAGCAGAAUUCCCCACAAGGCAGCAGCUUACAAGCCACCGCUAGGCCCACAGACUCUGGCCGUGUCCCAGAUGACGCAAGGGGCUCCCAGAGAUCCCAUGAGUGGAGUGGGGCAGAGUGGAGCUCCAGUGAAAUGGCUACGUAGCCCAGGGGGGAGCUCCAGGUUCCUCCAGCAGCCUCAGCAAAAGCCUCUGCACAGCACUAGUGGAGAGGUCCUGACUGGCAAUCGCAAGGCGGGAAGGCCCUGCGGCAAAAGCAGCACAGCUAGGUGAGCUAACGACAGACUGCACAAGAUACCCAUAGCUCUGCGGGGACAUAUAGUGGACAAGUGUGAUCUUGUGGGCUCUGUUAUGGACAAAGUGGUGAUUAUAGAUGAUCCUGCUCCUGGCUGAUGGGAAAGCCCACAAACAACACCGCUGCAGACCACAAGGAGGGAGCGCAUCUAAGUGGGCUGCAGCAGUAGUCACCAGCAGCCUGAGGCCCCCUUGUGAUUGCCCCCAUAACCGACGAGGGACCCCACAGGACCACUGUGACAUGAGGAGGGGUCCAGGUCCAAUGAGUAACAGCUGACAGAGUUCCUGGUUGGUGCAGUCUAAACAGCUGCCCCCCCCCCCCACACACACACCAGUCACAACCAGUGUAAGCAGCGACUAAACUCUAUCUCUAUGCGGAGGCACAAAUCCACGCCAUCAAGCAGAAUGAAAAAAUAUAUUAAAUCUCCAGAACAGAAGGAAAAUGAUAAGCACCCAGAAAACAAUCCCCAAACAACGAAAUCUACAACCUAAAUGAUGAUCAUUUCAAAACUGCCAUUAUUAAAAAACUCAACGAGUUAAAAGAGAAUUCAGAUAGACAACUCAAUGAGCUCAGGAGCUAUGUUACAAAAGAGCUUGAUACUAUAAAGAAGAACCAAUUAGAAAUACUGGAGAUGAAGAACACAAUGGAGGAGAUUAAGAAAAAUCUGGACUCUCUGAAUAGUAGGGUCGAUAAUAUGGAGGACAGAAUUAGCAAUUUGGAGGCUAGGAAUAUAGAAAUGCUGCAGACAGAGGAGGAGAGAGACCUAAGACUAAAGAGAAAUGAAGAAACUCUCCAAGAA